AUUGAACGCUGGCGGCAGGCCUAACACAUGCAAGUCGAACGAGUGGCGGACGGGUGAGUAAUGUCUGGGAAACUGCCUGAUGGAGGGGGAUAACUACUGGAAACGGUAGCUAAUACCGCAUACCAUCAGAUGUGCCCAGAUGGGAUUAGCUUGUUGGUGGGGUCACGGCUCACCAAGGCGACGAUCCCUAGCUGGUCUGAGAGGAUGACCAGCCACACUGGAACGGGGACGCGGUCCAGACUCCUACGUGAGGCAGCAGUGGGGAAUAUUGCACAAUGGGCGCAAGCCUGAUGCAGCCAGGCCGCGUGUGGGAAGAAGGCCUGCGGGUUGUAAAGUACGUUCAGCGGGGAGGCGUUACCCGCAGAAGAAGCACCGGCUAACUCCGUGCCAGCAGCCGCGGUAAUUC
rnacentral:rRNA from 1 species